UCCCCUGCUCUCGGGGUCCCGGGAGUUCCCUCGCUGUGUGACCCUCAGCAAGUGUGCGCACCUCUCUGAGCCUCGGCAGCCUGUAGCAAAAUGGAGGAGCUCGUACCGGCUGUGAGACAAAAUAGGAGCGGCAAAGGGUAGCGCUUAAGCGCAAGGACUGGAGUCCUCACUCCGCCACCGGCUAACUUCGGGAAACUAGCUGUACUGAUAGAACCACCUCAUAGGUUUGUUAUGAAGAUUAAGUGAGUUAAUAUUUGUAAAGUGUUUAGAACAGCUUCUGUUACGUGGUAAGUGGUAUUUAAGUAUUUGUUAGACUACGGGAGGUCUCGCUCCGCGAUUUUCUCCCUUCCCCUCUCCAUCCCCACAUUCCUGUUUGUAAGCCAAGCCUUGCUUUAGCACAGGCUGGGCCCUCUGCCUGGAAAUCUAUGCCCACCUCUUCUUUGCACUUUAAUAUCCCCCCCUUUGUGAAGCCUUUCUCCACUCCUGACAGUACAUGUGACUCUAUGGUGACAGGUAAGUGUGAAAAAUAUGAAUGGUAGGAACAUAGGAGAACUUGGGUUUGAACCAGCUCCACUGUAGACCAGUCCUCGAGAUCCUAGGCAAGGUGCUGGCCUAUGAGGCUCAGCUUUCUUCUGGGUUACACGGAAUGAACAUGACCACCAACUUCAUGUGCUAUCAUGAGAGACACAAUGUCCAGAUAAGCUCAUGAAAUACUUAGCACAGGCUUAACUCGCGGUAAGUCCCCCUUUAGUGGUAGUGGUAUUAUUUCACCUUAUUUCAUCUGAUUUCACCUCGUUUCUUCUUCUAGACCCGUGUCUUACUCGAGACACAGUGAAAGGAAAGACCCCCCCCCAGUCCAAAGGUCUGGACAAAAUCCUGAGACUGAGCAUCUCGAGGAUGGCUUCUGUAGCUGAGACACAGGGGUGAAGGAGUGAAGGAAGAAGGCAGGAGUGAAUGAACAUAUGAGCAGCUAGUCUGCCUGUUUCCUGCCAACACCAGUGUUCCCUUAAGUACUUUUUGGGUUUUGCCACGUCCCUGCUCAAAGUCUCUCCAUCGCUCCCUGUUUCCGAGCACAUCCAGUCUACUGCAUAUGUCUCCUCCCAGCUGUGGGUACACCCCACCCAGCUCAUGGGGCAUACUCACCAUCAGGCUCCCUUUCCUUCUCCAGGCCAGUCCUGCGCUGGCCACUUCCCCAGGGACAGAGGCAGGCAAGCCUGUUGCUAGCCUUAUGGAGCCCCCAAACUGGAGAGGAUGAAGCGGCGAGAUGCACAGCAACAGUACCAAGUUGGGUGUUCAUGGUUAAGAAUGUGUAUGGGAGGGGCUUCCCUGGUGGCACAGUGGUUGAGAGUCCGCCUGCCGAUGCGGGGGACACGGGUUCGUGCCCUGGUCCGGGAAGAUCCCACAUGCUGCGGAGCAGCUGGGCCCGUGAGCCAUGGCCGCUGAGCCUGCGCGUCCGGAGCCUGUGCUCUGCAACGGGAGAGGCCACAACAGUGAGAGGCCCGCGAACCGCAAAAAAAAAAAAAAAAAAAAGUGUAUGGGAGAGAACUUGUACCACAGAGGAAGGAGAGGGAGUGGAGAGAGCUUCAGGAAAGGGAGAGGGCAGGCUGAGCAGGGUUUAGAAGGCUGAAUAUGAGUUCACCAGGUGGGUCAGAGGGAAGGCCAUCCUUGGCAAGGGGAAGAACAUGUGCAAAGACAGUAGACAGGCAGAGAGUGACUGCUGAAGGGGAGAAAGAAUCUCUAGACCACACUCAGAGACUGAUGGUGGAGCCCUGGAUUUGGACUCCUGAGUCCCAGCUCUGCUAUUUACUUGUUAAACAUCACCAAGCAAAUCCUUUCUCUUUUCUGAGCCUCAAGACUCACAUCUGUAAAAUGGGUGUAACAAUCCCCUCCUGACUUGGCCAGAGGAAAAACGGAUUGUGUGUAAAAGUUUAUCCAAAUAAACAGUACUAAUUCAUGA